UGGGGAAUUUUGCACAAUGGGGGAAACCCUGAUGCAGCGACGCCGCGUGAUUUAGAAGGCCUUCGGGUUGUAAAAAUCUUUUCUAUGGGAAGAAAAUGACAGUACCAUAGGAAUAAGGACCGGCUAAUUACGUGCCAGCAGCCGCGGUAAUACGUAAGGUCCGAGCGUUGUCCGGAAUCAUUGGGCGUAAAGGGUACGUAGGCGGGUAAGCAAGUUAGAAGUGAAAUCCUAUAGCUCAACUAUAGUAAGCUUUUAAAACUGCUCAUCUUGAGUUAUGGAAGGGAAAGUGGAAUUCCUAGUGUAGCGGUGAAAUGCGCAGAUAUUAGGAGAAAUGCCGGUGGCGAAGGCGACUUUCUGGCCAUAACCUGACGCUGAGGUACGAAAGCGUGGGUAGCAAACAGG
rnacentral:rRNA from 1 species